rnacentral:rRNA from 1 species
AACGAACGCUGGCGGCAUGCCUAAUACAUGCAAGUCGAACGAGAUCUUCGGAUCUAGUGGCGCACGGGUGCGUAACGCGUGGGAAUCUACCCUUGGGUUCGGAAUAACAGUUAGAAAUGACUGCUAAUACCAGAUAAUGACGUAAGUCCAAAGAUUUAUCGCCCAAGGAUGAGCCCGCGUAAGAUUAGCUAGUUGGUGAGGUAAAGGCUCACCAAGGCUACGAUCUUUAGCUGGUCUGAGAGGAUGAUCAGCCACACUGGGACUGAGACACGGCCCAGACUCCUACGGGAGGCAGCAGUAGGGAAUAUUGGACAAUGGGGGAAACCCUGAUCCAGCAAUGCCGCGUGAGUGAUGAAGGCCUUAGGGUUGUAAAGCUCUUUUACCCGAGAUGAUAAUGACAGUAUCGGGAGAAUAAGCUCCGGCUAACUCCGUGCCAGCAGCCGCGGUAAAGUCAGUG